ensembl:lincRNA
GUCCCCGGAGGCACAGAUGAGGACGCGGCGAGGCGCCGGGCAGCCGGUGAGAGCCACCAAAAUGCCUUGACCUGGGCGGCUGACAGAUGAAGGAGUACAUUUGGGAGACUCCAGACUCCGUCCGUCUCCAUGGUCUUUCCCAGAUAUCCUGAGUGGAGCAUUCAAGGAUAUGGUCCGAGAAGCUUCCUCUGCCAUCACCCAAGAGGAUGCCGGAGUUGAGAAUCCCUUCUUACCCCCCAGCUGGAAAGGCAGCCUCACUUUUCAGACCGGUGUCCACGAUUCAGAGCAGGAGGUCCAAAGCCAGGGCCCAAACACAGCAUCCCUGGGCUCGUCUGAAAGCCUUCGCCCUCCCAGCCCUAACGAGGUGCCACACAGUCUUGUUCUUCUAUGGAGGUUUCCGCAAAUCGUGCCCCACACUUGGUGGCUGCUCCGCACAGAAGCAGGUGAAGAUGAUCCAUCCAAGGAUGCACGAAGACAGUCGCUGGUACCAGAGCCCGGCUUGUCAUCCUCAGCCGGGAAGGAAGGCUGCCUCCGGCUCCAGCCCUCAACUCCGAGGAAGUCGAGUCGUGCAGAAAAGAAACUGGUCCCUGGCUGUCCAGCGAGUGAGGCCAGCUUUGCCAUACCAGCUCCUCAGCAGCUGGCUUCCCCAUCCUACUUCCUGAGAGAUGAGGGCCACCAGGGGCCUGCCAGGGCUAAGCCCCUGCACACCUGUCCAUCCCGGAGGCUCUCAGCGUCACUUUGCCUACUUCUUCCCCAACUGCCUCGGUUCAGUCGCUUCGACCCUGACUGCACCCACGUGAGGGAAGGAGAGGUCUCACCAUGA